UNGCUUUGCUGGCAUGUGUAUCCUGUGU
rnacentral:piRNA from 1 species